UCGCAGAACGACUCUCGGCAACGGAUAUCUCGGCUCUCGCAUCGAUGAAGAACGUAGCGAAAUGCGAUACCUGGUGUGAAUUGCAGAAUCCCGCGAACCAUCGAGUCUUUGAACGCAAGUUGCGCCCGAAGCCACCAGGCCGAGGGCACGUCUGCCUGGGCGUCACGCA
rnacentral:rRNA from 3 species